rnacentral:rRNA from 1 species
GUGGGGAAUAUUGGGCAAUGGGGGAAACCCUGACCCAGCGACGCCGCGUGAGGGAAGACGGCCUUCGGGUUGUAAACCUCUUUUGUACGGGAAGAAGGAAGUGACGGUACUGUACGAAUAAGUCCCGGCUAACUACGUGCCAGCAGCCGCGGUAAUACGUAGGGGACGAGCGUUGUCCGGAAUUACUGGGCGCAAAGGGCGCGCAGGCUGUGCUGCAAGUCAGCUGUGAAAUGUCUGGGCUUAACCCGGGCAUGCGGUUGAGACUGCAGUGCUGGAGUGCUGUAGAGGCAAGUGGAAUUCCCAGUGUAGCGGUGAAAUGCGUAGAUAUUGGGAAGAACACCGGUGGCGAAGGCGACUUGCUGGGCAGCAACUGACGCUGAGGCGCGAAAGCCAGGGGAGCAAACGGGAUUAGAAACCCGGGUAGUCC